rnacentral:rRNA from 1 species
UACGAAGGGGGCUAGCGUUGUUCGGAAUCACUGGGCGUAAAGCGCGCGUAGGCGGAUUGUUAAGUCAGGGGUGAAAUGCCGAGGCUCAACCUCGGAACUGCCUUUGAUACUGGCAAUCUUGAGUCCGGGAGAGGUGAGUGGAACUCCUAGUGUAGAGGUGAAAUUCGUAGAUAUUAGGAAGAACACCAGUGGCGAAGGCGGCUCACUGGCCCGGUACUGACGCUGAGGUGCGAAAGCGUGGGGAGCAAACAGG